UACAGAGGGUGCAAGCGUUAAUCGGAAUUACUGGGCGUAAAGCGUGCGCAGGCGGUUAUAUAAGACAGAUGUGAAAUCCCCGGGCUCAACCUGGGAACUGCAUUUGUGACUGCAAGGCUAGAGUACGGCAGAGGGGGAUGGAAUUCCGCGUGUAGCAGUGAAAUGCGUAGAUAUGCGGAGGAACACCAAUGGCGAAGGCAAUCCCCUGGGCCUGUACUGACGCUCAUGCACGAAAGCAUGGGGAGCAAACAGG
rnacentral:rRNA from 1 species